CUGGUGAUCAGUGUCCAAAACACAACGAAGGCUGGUGACCAGUGUCCAAAACACAACGAAGGCUGGUGACCAGUGUCCAAAACAUAACGAAGGCUGGUGACCAGUGUCCAAAACACAACGAAGGCUGGUGACCAGUGUCCAAAACACAACGAAGGCUGGUGACCAGGGUCCAAAACACAAUGAAGGCUGGUGACCAGUGUCCAAAACACAACGAAGGCUGGUGACCAGUGUCCAAAACACAACGAAGGCUGGUGACCAGACUAACCACAGGUUGAGAACUGACGAAAAAAAGUGAGAGAUGACUGUCUGAUGGGCUUGUAAGCAACAUACACAGACCAGAAUAUGCUAGCCCACAGACCUGCCAUUGAGAAUGGUUACAUCUCCCUGAUACAGGCCUAGGUGUCUGGUUUGUGGGGGGAGUGUGUGCAUCUGUGUGAAACUGAGUGUCUGGUGUGAGUGUUGUGGUUCUCAGAAGUGCUGUCAGUUUAAAUAAGGCCUGUUUAUGACAGAGUAAAUUUAACAGCAGCUACCCUAACAAGAUAUAUUAACACUCUCACUCUCUCUCUCUGUUUUUUCUCUCUCUCUCUGUUUUUGCUCCUGUCUUUGUCGGAUUCUUGUUUGUGUUAUUCAUGCCUGAACCAGACUAUCGUCAUGUUUGCUGCAACCUUGUCCUGUCCUGUCGGAAUCUGCCGGUCCAUCUGAGCCUACCUAUGUUUUGUCAUUAAAGAAGCUCUGUUUACGUUAAUUCGCUUUUGGGUCCUCAUUCACGCACCGUGACACAUUGCCUAAAAUUAUGUAUAAGACACUGAGAUAGACCUAUAUAACAAUUGAGAUGUACAAACUAUGGCAUAAGGGAACAAUGAAGGGAUAAGAGGCAUUUUCGAUUCUGACAUUAAUGAACAAGUUCAGAGUGACGAUAUAACUAUGUGUUCAGCACUUUUGAAAUGAACAUUGACAGAUUUCAGAACAUGGGCCGUUCUUACAGUAUUCUCCCUGUACACCAAGUCAGAACCGUAGGAUAAAUAACAGGGGCAUAUAAGCAGACAAUGAAAGAUUUUACAAUUUUCCAUGAUGAUAAUUCUCUAAAACUGGCUAUAGGCUACGUGUGCACCACCAAGUCAGAACAGUAUAAGUUCUGAGGGGGAGAUGGCAAUUUUUGGACUCACCGUGUUCAGCUCACGAACAGGAAAGUUGCGCAGCGGUCCUUCUUGUGGGCAAACUUUCUCAUCAAAA
rnacentral:lncRNA from 13 species